UAGCACAAUAAUGCAAGGCACAACGUAUGUAUAAAUGUGUGUAUGUAUGUAUGUCUGCCAGUAGGUUGUCGAAGUUUGGCCUGCCGCGAAUGAACUAAACAUCAUAUCGUCGUCCGAUGUUGAUAAUCUGCUAGAGUCGUGUCGAGGGAAAGGGGAGCAUUCUCGCGCAUUAUGCACACCCGUCUCGCAUAUUGCAUUACAACUUGGGAGGGUAGGUGUACAGAGAAGAGAGGCGCUGGCCGAGCGGGACGACACGCCGCACUGCUCCACAGAGAUGUCAAACACACAAGAAAAAAGAGCGUAUCAAGUAUUAUACGCAAUAUGUACAAGUGGAUGCAAAGUAGGAAAAAACUAUACUCAAUUAAUAUAAAUAAAUUUCGCGGAAAAUUUGGCAUUAUCUAUAAAUAAUAAAAGUAAAAAUAGACGCAAAGGAACAAUAUGUAUACUAACCUAACCAUAAAUACACACAUAGGCCAUAUAUGUACAUACAUAUAUUUUAGUGUCUUGAAUUUAACGUUGGUGUAGCAUUUUUUUCAAUUUAUUUGAAUUCCAAUAAAUGAUUAAUUCUGGAAAGCAAA